rnacentral:rRNA from 1 species
UGUCCUACGGGGGGCAGCAGCAGUGAGGAAUAUUGGUCAAUGGUCGGGAGACUGAACCAGCCAAGCCGCGUGAGGGAGGAAGGUACAGAGUAUCGUAAACCUCUUUUGUCAGGGAACAAAGGCGGGGACGUGUCCCCGGAUGAGUGUACCUGAAGAAAAAGCAUCGGCUACCUCCGUGCCAGCAGCCGCGGUAAUACGGAGGAUGCGAGCGCUAUCCGGAUUUAUUGGGUUUAAAGGGUGCGCAGGCGGUCUGUUAAGUCAGCGGUCAAAGCUCG